GCCCUGGCACAGAGCACAUCCUGGCUGCUGCCUUUCCCUGGAGAGCAGGGGGUCUCCAUGUGCCUCCUUGGGCAGCUCAGCAGCCCUGGGAUGGUGCCCGAGGAGAGGGGGCAGAGGGACCAGCAGGAGCUGCCCCUGUGCCCUGGGGAGGGACCCCCAGCUCUGUUCCUGCAGUUCUCACUCCUGCAGUGACUCUGACAUUUGGAAAAGCCUUCUUUUUUCCCCCUAUGGAUGGAGAAGGACAGUCUGAGCCUUCCUGAGCCUGGGCUUUGGAGCACGAAGCUGGUGAUUUUAAUUACCAGCAGAGAGAAGAAAAGAGAGGGAUUUUUUUACAGCUGGGUAAGUGUUGCAUGGGGCAAGUCAAGAGUUUUUCCUUUUAUAGCCUCUAUCCCACUGUUUGAAUAUAAUCUCUUCUCUGUGUCUGCUGUAAAUACUCUCCUACAACUUCAGAGUGGCUGUGUCCCGACCCUGGGGCUGCUAAAUCCUCUCCCUGCAAAGCCCUGGGCUAAAUCCAGCCCAUACCUGGCAGGGUUAUUCCUGCUCAGGGGGUUCAACACCACUGCAGGGUUUAAAACACGCCUGGGCCUGGCCAAGCCAGGUCAGAAACCCCUGGAAGAAUGGGAAAGUGCAAGCAGGAGAGGAUAAAGGGGCUGCUGCAGCAGCUGGGGAAAAGGAGAUAUAUAUAUGUGUACAUGUUUUUUCAAGAGUGAGAAAGAAUAAGCCUGAGGCUUCGGUCAGCUGUCACCAGGCUGAGAUAAGGAUGGGGGAGUUUAAAUCCCAUUUAGACAGAAUCCUCAGGGAAGGGCUGGAGUGGGGAAGGUGGUGGGAGGCAGCACAGAUCCAGCUGGUGGAAAUCUCUCCUCCAGAGCAGGGAUCAAACCCAGCCACGAGUCCUCCAGCAGGAAGAAAUUGGGGGCCUGAUCUCCCUCCACCACUUUUGAAUCCUUUUUUUGCUGUGAAAGGGCUUUUCUAAGCUUUUGCUGAUGCUUUGGCACCCAAUAAGGUAGAGAAACAAAUGUGAAAUCGAGGGCCAGAGCAUCCAACUCCUUCCCUGUCACUUUAUUAAAAUGGUGUAAAAUAAAUUCCAUCCUCCCAUUUGCUUUCUCUGGAGCUGUGGCUGCUUUUUUGGAGCAGGGAGAAGGUGGAGGCUGCAAGCCCAGGCAGCUCUGGCUCCUCUGCCAAGCAAAGCACAGGGGGAAUGGGACAAAUACAUCAGAAAAAGCCCAUCUUACAAAAUAAAACCUUGAAUCUUCACUUGAAAAUGGAGAAAAAAUCAUUUUCUGGUGCAACUGAAUAGCUAAAGGGGGUUGCAAGGGUGCAACAUAGAACAGUUUGGGUUGGAAGGGACCAUGGCCUUCUCCUCAUCCUCAGCUUCUGCAGAAACAUCUGAUGUCUCCAAAUGGGUGGAUUUUGAGGCAAAAAAAAAAUCCUAGAAGAAGGUGCAAGGGCAGUUUUGAGCCCCCAGCUUUGUCUGUCUUCACGAGAAUCCCAAUUACAGCCGAGUCUGCUCUGAUCCCUGGGGUCCUUCAGCUGUGCUGGGCAGGGGGGGCACAGCCAGGGCAAAACUGAGGCUUUUAUUAUGAGAUAUGGGCCAAGAGGGCCUGAAUCUCAAGGGAAACAAAACUAAAUGGAAAUGUGUGGGUUGAGGAGAGGUUUUUUUGUGGUUUCCCUGACCACCACACUGGAGAGGUGCAGGAAUUCGCACAGGCCAAGUUUUGCAAGUCAUUAAAACAUGGGAGUUUUAACACAGUUAUGACUCCAAACAGUUUUUGUCCAGGAUUAGGAGCAACCCAAGGAGCUGCCAUCCUGCUGCACCCUUGCUGGCCCUGCUCCCUGUAUGUUUUGUGUUGGUCACUGCUGGAACUCCUUGACACAAGGUCUGGUUGCUGAAAUAUCCAGAAAUAAAGAGUUAAAUAACAUCUCUGAGAAA